rnacentral:rRNA from 1 species
CCUACGGGAGGCAGCAGUGGGGGAUAUUACACAAUGGGGGAAACCCUGAUGCAGCGACGCCGCGUGUGGGAAGACGGUCCUCUGGAUUGUAAACCACUGUCCCCAGGGACGAAGAUGACGGUACCUGGGGAGGAAGCUCCGGCUAACUACGUGCCAGCAGCCGCGGUAAUACGUAGGGAGCGAGCGUUGUCCGGAAUUACUGGGUGAAAAGGGAGCGUAGGCGGGACUGCAAGUUGGGUGUCAAAUCUACCGGCUCAACCGGUAGCCGCACUCAAAACUGCAGUUCUUGAGUGAAGUAGAGGCAGGCGGAAUUCCUAGUGUAGCGGUGAAAUGCGUAGAUAUUAGGAGGAACACCAGUGGCGAAGGCGGCCUGCUGGGCAUUUACUGACGCUGAGGCUCGAAAGUGUGGGGAGCAAACAGGAUUAGAUACCCGAGUAGUC